CGGCCGUACUUUCGGCGGGCGGAGCGCCACGACCGGUUCGUCGGCGGCGAGAAACUCCCGGGCAAGGUGACCUUCGUCUCGGCGCAGGAGCAUACAGGCCCGGUGAGCGUCGGCCCGUCGGUGGACCGAGGAAGACCGUCGCGGAGCGGCGUCGACCGUUCGUCGUGUGUUGGCGUUCGACUCGGGGGGACUGGUUCCAGUGCCCUCGGACCGCGCCGGCGCAGCGGCGGGCGCGCACGGCGUCGCGCCUGGGGUCGGUGGCGAAACGGCCGGCAACCUGUCCGACCCGUCUUGAAACACGGACCAAGGAGUCUAACAUGUGCGCGAGUCGUUGGGCGCUACGAAACCCGAAGGCGCAAUGAAAGUGAAGGCCCGGUCUCCGGCCGGCCUGGGUGGGAUCCCGGCGGUCUCGGCCGUCGGGCGCACCACCGGCCCGUCUCGUUCGUUACGUCGAGGAGGCGGAGCAAGAGCGUACACGUUGGGACCCGAAAGAUGGUGAACUAUGCCCGAGUAGGACGAAGCCAGAGGAAACUCUGGUGGAGGUCCGCAGCGAUUCUGACGUGCAAAUCGAUCGUCAAACUUGGGUAUAGGGGCGAAAGACUAAUCGAACCAUCUAGUAGCUGGUUCCUGUCGAAGUUUCCCUCAGGAUAGCUGGCGCUCGUCGUGAGCAGUUUUAUCCGGUAAAGCGAAUGACUGGAGGCCUUGGG
rnacentral:rRNA from 1 species